rnacentral:rRNA from 1 species
AUACGGAGGGUGCGAGCGUUAAUCGGAAUUACUGGGCGUAAAGCGCGCGUAGGCGGUUUGGUCAGUCGGAUGUGAAAGCCCUGGGCUUAACCUGGGAAUGGCAUUCGAUACUGCAGAGCUAGAGUAUGGUAGAGGGAAGUGGAAUUUCCGGUGUAGCGGUGAAAUGCGUAGAUAUCGGAAGGAACACCAGUGGCGAAGGCGACUUCCUGGGCCAAUACUGACGCUGAGGUGCGAAAGCGUGGGGAGCAAACAGGAUUAGAAACCCGGGUAGUCC